rnacentral:misc_RNA from 1 species
UUAAGUUCAGCGGGUAUUCCUACCUGAUCCGAGGUCAACCUUGUAAAAAAGAAGAUUGUACGGCGGAGUCAACCGGUGCUCCUGACGUUCAGAAAUCUAACACGCCGGGGGUCGGUUUCCUCGCCGAUGCAUUUCGGGGGGGGCCUCCGCCUGGGCGGGGGCCUGCUCCCAAUACCAAGCGUGGCUUGAUUGGUGAAAUG